UCAGAACUAUUAUACGUUUCCGAAGAAAGAAGCCCCACCACGAAAGUGACUUUACCACCCCUGACCCCACGAAAGCUGUGGCACAAACUGGGAUUAGAUACCCCACUAUGCUCAGCUAUAAAUUUUGAUAGACCAUUACACCCCCUAUCCGCCCGGGUACUACGAGCACUAGCUUAAAACCCGAAGGACUUGGCGGUGCUUUAGAUCCACCUAGAGGAGCCUGUUCUAGAACCGAUAAUCCCCGUUUAACCUCACCCUCCCUUGCUCCUUCCCGCCUAUAUACCGCCGUCGUCGCUUACCCUGUGAAGGACUAAUAGUAAGCAAAAUUGGCAAAGCCCAAAACGCCAGGUCAGGUGUAGCGAAUGAGAGGGGAAGAAAUGGGCUACAUUUCCUGAACCCAGCACAUACGGACAACACACUGAAACGUGUAUUGAAAGGAGGAUUUAGCAGUAAGCAGAAAAUAGAGUGUUCUACUGAAACUGGCCCUGAAGCGCGCACACACCGCCCGUCACUCUCCCCAAAUACCUAAAAACCUGAAACAAUAAAGGGGAGGCAAGUCGUAACAUGGUAAGUGUACCGGAAGGUGCACUUGGAAAAAUCAGGGCUUAGCUAAG
rnacentral:rRNA from 1 species